rnacentral:rRNA from 1 species
UACGAAGGGUGCAAGCGUUACUCGGAAUUACUGGGCGUAAAGGGCUCGUAGGCGGCCAACUAAGUCGGAUGUGAAAUCCCCAGGCUUAACCUGGGAACUGCAUCCGAUACUGGAUGGCUUGAAUCCGGGAGAGGGAUGCAGAAUUCCAGGUGUAGCGGUGAAAUGCGUAGAUAUCUGGAGGAAUACCGGUGGCGAAGGCGGGUCUCUGGGCCGAUACUGACGCUGAGGAGCGAAAGCGUGGGGAGCGAACAGG